UCUCCCUUCCUUCUCUAUUUUUCUUCUUUCCUCCUUCCUAUUUCUUUCCCGUUCUCUCUCCAUACCCAUGCCACUUACCCAUCUCCCUUUCUCCAUUUUUUUUCCUUUCUCACUCUUUCACCUUCCCAUCUUCACCAUGCCUUCCCUCGUCGUCAUCGCCGGCUGGACCAACCACAAUCGGUUACGCCAACCACAGUCGGCUGCACACCAUUUCCACGAUCCUACUACGGCGACCCCUUCUGCCACCAUUCUCAUCGCCCACCGUUGACAGCCACUUGUCGCCGCCCAUAUUAGCUCCACAACACCUUCUCUUCAUGCACCACCUAUGGUCGUCAUUAUCUAUUCAAACGAUGGGUUUGUGGAUAGGGAGUCUCUUUCUCGGCAGUGAUAACACAGCGAUCAACACGAGAGGUUUGAGAUAGAGGUGCUGGCAAUUUUGGGGUCUUUCUAGAGGGCAAUGCUUGAAGAUUAAUGCUAGAGAUACGGUAUCUACAAAUUGCAUAUAUGUUUGAUGUAUUCUUGCAAUUGAAAGUACUUUAUAAUUUGAAAAUUGUUAUUUUGAUACUCUGAUAUGAUGGUCAAACCCACUUUUAUGGUAAAGGUCAUUGAGAA